UUACUUCUCAUUUCAUCACGCUCGUUCUCUCUCUUCACUUUCUUCGUCUUCAACAUUAUUCAAAUGGGAGGCGUCGUCCUUUGCUACUUUUUCUAUUGUUGCAGAGCCAAGAUCAAUCGUCCUUCCCCCACCACUGCCAUCUCCCUCCAUAGCAGCACUGCAGCACCAAGCACACUGCACACUGCAGGCUGCAGCAUGCCUAAACGAGUUUAAUGAGCUCGAGUUCGAGCUCUGACAUGCUUCAUCGAGCCGAGCUGGAGUUAACAUUAUAUAAUUGGAUUCGAGCUCGAACUGUGCAAAAUAGAAGUCGAGCCCAGUUCGAGCUGACCAAGCUCAGGCUGUUCACCUUUAAUUUGUUGUAGCAUACUGUUGCUUACAUUAGGAAUAAUAUAUAUGAUUUUCCAUGCUUGUAUAGUUUGGAAUUAA